GACGUAGGGCGCAAGCGUUGUCCGGAUUUAUUGGGCGUAAAGAGCUCGUAGGCGGCCUGUCGCGUCGAUCGUGAAAGUCCACGGCUCAACUGUGGGAUUGCGGUCGAUACGGGCAGGCUAGAGUGCGGCAGGGGAGACUGGAAUUCCUGGUGUAGCGGUGAAAUGCGCAGAUAUCAGGAGGAACACCGGUGGCGAAGGCGGGUCUCUGGGCCGUUACUGACGCUGAGGAGCGAAAGCGUGGGGAGCGAACAGGAUUAGAUA
rnacentral:rRNA from 1 species